rnacentral:rRNA from 1 species
UACGUAUGGUGCAAGCGUUAUCCGGAUUUACUGGGUGUAAAGGGAGCGCAGGCGGCGCGGCAAGUCCGAUGUGAAAACCCCCGGCUCAACCGGGGGACUGCAUUGGAAACUACCGGGGUGGAGUGCCGGAGAGGUAGGCGGAAUUCCUGGUGUAGCGGUGAAAUGCGUAGAUAUCAGGAGGAACACCAGUGGCGAAGGCGGCCUACUGGACGGUGACUGACGCUGAGGCUCGAAAGCGUGGGGAGCAAACAGG